rnacentral:rRNA from 1 species
AGCAGCCGCGGUAAUUCCAGCUCCAAUAGCGUAUAUUAAAGUUGUUGCAGUUAAAAAGCUCGUAGUUGAAUUUCGGGGUUAGUAGGUUGGUCAUGCCACUGGUAUGUACUGGUCUCACUGAUUCCUCCUUCCUGAUGAGCCGUAAUGCCAUUAAUUUGGCGUUGCGAGGAAUCUGGACUGUUACUUUGAAAAAUUAGAGUGUUUAAAGCAAGCUAACGCUUGAAUACAUUAGCAUGGAAUAAUGAAAUUAGGACGUUCGAUCCUAUUUUGUUGGUUUCUAGGAUUGACGUAAUGAUUAAUAGGGAUAGUUGGGGGCAUUAGUAUUCAAUUGUCAGAGGUGAAAUUCUUGGAUUUAUUGAAGACUAACUACUGCGAAAGCAUUUGCCAAGGAUGUUUUCAUUAAUCAAGAACGAAAGUUAGGGGAUCGAAGACGAUCAGAUACCGUCGUAGUCUUAACCAUAAACUAUGCCGACUAGGGAUCGGGAUGAUGUUAAUUUUUAAUGACUCAUUC